UGGGGAAUUUUGCACAAUGGGGGAAACCCUGAUGCAGCGACGCCGCGUGAUUUAGAAGGCCUUCGGGUUGUAAAAAUCUUUUCUAUGGGAAGAAAAUGACAGUACCAUAGGAAUAAGGACCGGCUAAUUACGUGCCAGCAGCCGCGGUAAUACGUAAGGUCCGAGCGUUGAGCGGAAUCAUUGGGCGUAAAGGGUACGUAGGCGGGUAAGCAAGUUAGAAGUGAAAUCCUAUAGCUCAACUAUAGUAAGCUUUUAAAACUGCUCAUCUUGAGGUAUGGAAGGGAAAGUGGAAUUCCUAGUGUAGCGGUGAAAUGCGCAGAUAUUAGGAGGAAUACCGGUGGCGAAGGCGACUUUCUGGCCAUAACCUGACGCUGAGGUACGAAAGCGUGGGUAGCAAACAGG
rnacentral:rRNA from 1 species